CCUACGGGGGGCAGCAGUGGGGAAUAUUGGGCAAUGGGCGCAAGCCUGACCCAGCAACGCCGCGUGAAGGAAGAAGGCUUUCGGGUUGUAAACCACUGUCCCCAGGGACGAAGAUGACGGUACCUGGGGAGGAAGCUCCGGCUAACUACGUGCCAGCAGCCGCGGUAAUACGUAGGGAGCGAGCGUUGUCCGGAAUUACUGGGUGUAAAGGGAGCGUAGGCGGGACUGCAAGUUGGGUGUCAAAUCUACCGGCUCAACCGGUAGCCGCACUCAAAACUGCAGUUCUUGAGUGAAGUAGAGGCAGGCGGAAUUCCUAGUGUAGCGGUGAAAUGCGUAGAUAUUAGGAGGAACACCAGUGGCGAAGGCGGCCUGCUGGGCUUUUACUGACGCUGAGGCUCGAAAGUGUGGGGAGCAAACAGGAUUAGAUACCCCUGUAGUC
rnacentral:rRNA from 1 species